CUAUACAAUAGGAGUUCUGUACAAAAUAACUAAAUACUUACAUCAUACAAAGACAACGAUAUUCCAGCAACCUGAGUUCACUCAAAGACGACAUACUAGACCUCUCAUGAAUCUCAUCGCGACAUCCUUCAUGCUCCUCAUCUUGCGGUACUUGUUCUUGACCUGGGGGAUGUGAAAACAACAAGGGUGAGCUCACAUAAAUUCAUCACUCAACAAGUUGUGAGAAAUAAUGUGCAUGAGCUCACUUACAAUGGAGGCUAUGUGAAGUGUAAGGCUUAUCAAAGAAGAUGGUUAAAGCUGAGCAUUGCUUUUAAAGUUGGUCAAAGUUUUAUUAGCAGUUACUAAGUGUAAGUAGAUACUAACCCAAAUAAAUAAGAUAUCACAAUUAAUAAUAAAACACACAAUACAAUGCAAAUGACAAAUUGAGUUUAAUUCCAUAAAUUAAUCAUGUGAUGGCCCGAGCUACUCAUGAUCGUGAGCACGACUGAUAUACCAGUUUUACUGAAAGUAGCCUAGAGGGGGGGUGAAUAGGCUACACCUGAAAAUUUUCACUAAAAACUUCGAAAUAGGUUAAAUUAAAGUUGCACAGGUGCAAACCGGUUCAGUCGAUUUUAAUCACAACUGAACAAGUUUGAAUCCGCUCAACUUAAAUUUGAUAAUCUAUUGAACAAAUGCGAAGUAGGGAAGAAUAUAGCUAAAGAUUUGCCCUACACAAAAUCUACUCAAAUGAAUAUUAUGAACCAACCACUGAAUAUAAAACGCUUGACAAGAACACACAAGAACACGCGAUAUAACCCGAGGUUCGGCAACCACCACAAAGGUGUCCUACUCCUCGUUGAGGAACCCACAAAGGGUCGGGUCUUUUCCAACCCUAAUCCUCCACAAGCCGACCACAAAGGUCAAGGCAAUCUCUUCUCAAAUCAGCUCAAGGAGCGGGUGAUACAAACUUCUUGGGGUCGUCCACAAAUUUGGAGACUCCCAAGCAACCUCUAACCGUCAAGGAACACGAGGUUCCAAGAGUAACAAAUCCGCACACGGUUAAGUUUGCAACGAGCUCAAGAACAAGAGAAUGGGAGAAUCGAGAUGAAAUUGACAGCGAGUUCGAUCGAGUUCACCUCACACCAAGGGUCCUUCAAAUGAUUGAAGGAGAUGCGAUUGCGGGUGUGAAAGGUGAAAUGAAUGCUCUUGUUUGAAAGUUGGUCAGCCAAGAAUUCGUGGGAGAGGCAGGAGUAAAUGAGAGAGAGAGUGUGAGGGGGUAUAUAAAGGAUCCCCCAAAAGCUGGCAGCCGUUGGGAGAAAAGGAGCAAAAACCGGUUGAACCGGUUUUCAGACCGGUUGAACCGGUUUCUACCAGGGGAAUCCCGCUCCACUGACCUACUCAGCCGGACACUCGACCGGUUUCAAAACCGGCUGAGUAGGGACAAAAUUCGGCUCAACCGGUUUCUAAAAAAUAUCUGCUGCGACUUUUUCUGACAGCUCUGACUGUCAGACAGGUCAGAGCAGAGGUGGCAGGUGAACAGUACCGAAACCGGUUGAACCGGUUUUGGGGGCUGAAACCAAAUUUUGAGUAUUUUGAAGGGAACAAAAGGGGAAACUUUGUGGGAAGUAAAAUUUGUUUUUCUCAAGAGCAUUCAUGAUCUGGGAAAAUGAUCUCCAAGGAGUUUUCAAAAGAUUUUGAACUUGGCUCGUUUCACAACUUACUUAACCGUCGCAGAUCCCUCUUAAUUGUACGGCGAUUCCUAUGACUCAAGAAUUAUAAAUUUAGCACCGCUGUUGUUUCUUAGCACUUGGAGCACGCCAUUUGAUGUGGAAUUUUAAAUCCGCUGUGCUUUAUACUUUUAUGCUCGUAAGAUCUGUGCUUCUCCUGUCUGUAGAAAUACUGUGUACAAACUAGGAGCAAACUUGUUAGAAUCUUAGUUUGUUUUGUCAUUAAUCACCAAAACCCUUAAUUAGGGUUGAUUGCACUUACAAUCUCCCCCUUUUUGGUGAUUGAUGCCAAAACAAACUAGAAUGGAAAUAAAAAUUAAAAUUUACAAGUACUUGCAAGAUAAAAUCUUUUAUGUAUGUGUAGCUCCCCCUAAAUAUGUGCAUGAGUUUUGUGAUAUUAACAUUGACUUGAUAUGUCAAUUUGCAACAUAUUUAGAGAGAGAGAACAAUCAACACCAUACACACAAAUGAUGAGGUAUGAAACAUAAUUGGAUAGAAAAAGUAAAAACACAUUCAAGCUCAUUAUUGCAUAGCAUAUGAUAUAAAAAAGUUCUACAGCUAUUACAAUAACGAGAGCUCGUCUCAUCACAUCAUAAAAGUGUUUAUGGCAAUCGAGCCAUGCAUGCAUCAAAUAGUUAUUACAGACCAAGUGUUCAUUACAAAAAUAAAGGAGUACUGCAUAAUAAACUUUCUCCCCCUUUUUGGCAACAAGAACCAAAAAGAGAGAGAGAGAAGCGCCAAUCCAAUGAUCACCAGUGGGGAGGAGGAUGAUGAGGAGCAAAGAGGUGUUGCGCCAGGUUAGAGGCAAAGUGUUCCUCUCCAGACUGGGCCGGAGGAGGAGCACUGCCAGAAGGGUCCUGGGGCGGAGGAUAAGAGGACGAUUGGCCCGGAUCCCCGUGAUACGGAGGCAGGACAAACUGCUCCGGAUCAUCAAAAUAAGUUUCUUCUUCUUCGACGUCAUCAGCUGUUGAAAAAGGCACCCCAUAUGCCUGCUGGUACCACUCGUUGACAUCUGGAGGAGGAGGGUGGAGAGGUACAUCAGGAGAGCGGGGGGCGAAGGGAGUACCCAAAGCGGAAGCUUGACGACGAAGGUUGUCGUCGGUCUCCCGCUGACGUCGAGCCACCUCAUGAACAUCUGCAGCAAUGUUUCGGCACAUGGAGAAGAAAGCCGCAAACCCGUGGGCCAAGCGGGCACCCAUCCCACGGCCACGACCUCGACCACGACCACGACCACGUGGUGUGGGAGAUCCGCGGCCAGGGGAAGGGCGCGAGGCACCAGCAGCAGCAGCAGCACCACCACCACCAGCACCAGCAGACGGACCCGCAGAUGUAUGAGCACGAGAACUAGUGGGGGCUUUCCUGAGGCGCCCUGCUGGAUUAUUGGGAUCAAUCCAGAAAGGGGUGUAUGACUGAUGUUUGGUACCUUUGUCAAAUCUGAACUGAGUCACAACCUCAAACAUCUUCAUUAUGAAUGGAGCAUGAAGACACCCCUUCAAAGGAAAGCAGGCGGCAUGAAUGAUCUCCUGCCAAAUCAUGUCGAAGACAUUUAUCCUUUCUGAGCUGCUGGGUUUCAUAAAAGAGAGCAAGACCUUGCUCUCCCCAAGAAUGUUCAUUUGAUUUCCCCCUUUUGGAAUGAGGGUCAUCCUGCAGAGGGAGUUGAUAUAACGAUAAUACUUAUGAAUGUUGGUCGACUCCCAAUACUUUCCAGACUCAGAAAGAUGAAGAUCCUUGGCUUCAUCUCUAGUGGGCUGCCGGAAAUCAUGAAUCUUAUCUUGUCGCCAGAUAUAUCAUUGUCAGAAAAGCCAAGAAUGUGAGCAAAUCGACGAUAGCUCACCUUGUACCAACUACCUUCAAUGAAGAAAUUCAGAUAGGGGUUGUUGUAAUGACUCUCCUCGUCAACAAGCUUUAUCCAGAGAGUGGAGUAGAAUUGAGCAAUCACUUCAUCAUUCCAAUCAUAUUGGAAUGUCAUGAUAUUCUUCAUCUGUUUCCUUUCACAGGCCCUCAAUGCCUGUGACAUUUCUGGGUCCCCAAUGGCUUCACAACCUUCCCAGUUGAUAUAACGUUGAUGCAGGAUAGGUUGAUGCUUCUUGGGGAGAAUGACGGAAUUAUAGAAAUCCACGUGAUGAAGUGUCCAAAAACGAUUUCCAUCGAUCCUGGCAUCGCGAAUACGCAAUACAGGAUUUUGGAAACGAAGAUCCUGGAGAAGAGCAGAGCCUCCACUGGCAGUGAAGUCAGUGACUGGCUCAUUGCCAGCACGCCGAGCCUCUGCCCGGUGGAGGACCAAGCCACGAAUCACAGGAGCGUGGGCCGGGGGAAGAUCGACUUCAUCGUCCUUCCCGCCAUCAUCAUCACUUGCAGGCUCCCACGCCUGCGGAUUCGUCGCAGGUCGAGACCGACCGGAAGGAUUCCGGGAUGUCCGACCGCGAGCACUUUGAGACCCGGAGGCCUCAGCACCCGGCAUGACAUUGCCGCUUCCGCGCCCUCGCUUGGAUCGAGAGCGAGGUGGAGUAUCUCCGUGGAUUUCCUGGUCAUCCGAGGAGUCGGAUUCGACCACAGACGGGUUCCUUCGACGCACCAUUCUAAGAAAUAAGAAAUAGAACCUAUGAUGAGCAAGGAUCAAACAUGUUUGAGUAGAAACGCAUAAGAUAUUGACCAUGCACUUCAACCGUUCAUAUGAGCGGUUCAACUACAACGAACAAUAUCAAAUCGCUAAUCUCUAACAAUGUUUGUGACAAAUGAGGAUAGUCUAAGUGUUGCAAUCACUUAAACUAGAAUGUACCCAACGAAUGAUAUAAUAGAUAAUCAAGAACGCGUAGGACCAAAUAUAAGAAAAUAAAAUAGGGCAAUACCUCGAUCCGGAGAUUGGGUCAAGAACUCCCAACGAGAUGGAGGAAGAUGGUGGAAAAACGCCGGGAUGAGCGGAUCUCCAACAACUCUUCCAAACGUGAGAGGGCACGAGAGAUUUUGGAGUGGAGUGUGAAGGUGGAGAAUGAGAGGACGGCGGCGGCUGUAAAAAGUUGAGAGGGCAGCGGCGGCUGUAAAAAGAGACUGAGAAGGGAAAAGGAGAGAGGGAGAGAUAUAAAAAGGGGAAGAGUCGGCCGCCAGAAAACCGAAAACCGGUUCAACCGGUUCAAAAACCGGUUCAACCGGUUUCUGGUCAAACUACACAGUAAAAGCGCGCAGAAAACGGUGUUGACUGCGCGAAAAUUCUGGCAGUCUGACAGCACAGACUGCAAAACUGACAGCGCAGACUGCGCAGCUGUCAGCGCAGACUGCACGCUGACUGACGGCGCGACGGCCAAAACCGGUUCAACCAGUUUUUAUACCGGUUCAACCGGUUUCCACCAGGGAGAAACCGGUUGAGUGGCCUACUCAGCCGGUUUACUCAACCAGUUUCCAGAUAUUGCCCGGAAGGGCUAUAAUAGCACUUAGCAAAUAUGACAUGAGAUAUUUUAAAGAUAAAAAUGUUAUUUCUCAUUUCAUAUUGCUCAAACAAUCAAUUUUCAACCAUCAAAUUUGAUCAAAAUUUUAGUUAUUAAGUCACGUUUCGAGAAUCCAAGAUAUUCAGUUCACUCCUAAGAAAACAAAACCUAGUCUCAUCGAGGGGUUUUGUGAAGAUAUCGGCUAGUUGAUUUUCGGUGCUCACAUGAAAAAGUUCGAUAUCUCCUUUGGCUUCGUGGUCUCUCAAGAAAUGGUGUCUGAUGUCAAUAUGUUUAGUUCUAGAGUGUUGCACUGGGUUGUUUGCAAGUUUUAUGGCACUCUCAUUGUCACACAAAAGUGGAAUUUUGUUAAACUCACAACCAAAAUCUCUAAGGGUUUGCUUCAUCCAUAACAACUGUGCACAACAUGCCCCAGCUGCUAUGUAUUCAGCUUCUGCAGUGGAAAGUGCAACACAAUUUUGUUUCUUGGAACUCCAUGACACUAGGGAUCUCCCAAGGAAUUGGCAAGUCCCAGUAGUGCUUUUUCGAUCUACUUUGCAACCGGCAUAAUCUGAGUCAGAGUAGCCAAGCAAAUCGAAAAGGGAGCCUUUAGGAUACCAUAAUCCUAGGUUUUGGGUGUGGACUAAGUAUCUUAGAAUUCUCUUAACGGCUACAAGAUGGCAAUCUUUAGGAUUUGCUUGAAAACGUGCACACAUGCAAACACUCAACAUUAUAUCAGGCCUAGAUGCACAUAAGUAAAGCAGUGAUCCUAUCAUUGAUCUAUAUAAUUUUUGAUCUACAGGUUUACCUUCCUCAUUUAGGUCGAGAUGUCCAUUUGAUGACAUUGGAGUCUUGGCGUGUUUUGCUUUGUCCAUGCCAAACUUCUUGAGAAUAUCUUGAGUAUAUUUAGUUUGGCAUAGAAAAGUACCUUCCUUGAGUUGUUUGACUUGAAAUCCCAGGAAGUAUUUAAGCUCGCCCAUCAUAGACAUCUCAAACCUGUUCGUCAUUACUUUGCUAAACUCUUCACAAAAUUUUUCAUUAGUACUACCAAAUAUAAUGUCAUCAACAUAUAUUUGGCACACAAAUAAUUCAUUGUCAACUUUUCGAGUAAAUAAAGUAGAGUCAGCUUUUCCUAUUGUAAACCCAUUCUUAAUUAAAAAAUCUUUAAGACAGUCAUACCAAGCUCUAGGGGCUUGUUUAAGCCCGUAGAGUGCCUUGUGAAGUAGAUAAACAUGAUUUGGCUUCUUUGGGUCUUCAAAGCCCGGUGGUUGCUCCACAUAUACUCUCUCUUGUAGUGGUCCAUUUAGAAAAGCGCUCUUGACAUCCAUUUGAUAUAGCUUGAAAUCAUGGUUAGUAGCAUAGGCAAUUAAUAUUCUAAUUGAUUCUAACCUUGCUACCGGCGCAUAUGUUUCACCAAAAUCAAGUCCUUCCACUUGAGUAUAGCCUUGGGCAACCAACCGUGCCUUGUUUCUUGUAACCACGCCAUGUUCAUCUUGCUUGUUCCUAAAGACCCAUUUAGUCCCAAUCACAUUUUGUUUGGGUCUUUGGACUAAGGACCAGACUUCAUUCCUAGUGAAGUUGUUCAACUCCUCUUGCAUGGCAAUUAUCCAAUCCGGAUCACCCAAUGCUUCUUCAACCUUAAGUGGCUCAAGAGAGGAAACAAACGAGUAAAAUUCACAAAAAAUAGCUAAACGAGAUCGAGUUGUUACCCCUCUCCUGAUGCUACCCAGGAUGUUGUCCACUGGAUGAUCCCUUUGUAUUGUUUGAUGGACUCUAGGAUGAGGCACUGAUGGAUGUCUUUGUAUUUGCUCCUCCUCAUCAAUUACUUGAUCAAGAGGCACUUCACCAUCAAUACUUUCUUGUUCAUCUUCUACCACUGUUGGCAUCAUUUGAUGAUUUUCUUCGUGGCUUGGAUGACUUGAGGUUGAUGGGAUUGCUUGGGUGGAGACUUUGUCACUCACCACCCUUGCACCCACAUCAACUACCUCAUUGGUCAUCCAUAAGGUUCCUUCUUCAUCAUCCCUUUCUUGAGGUCUCACCUCACUUAUUGCAAGUUUCUUUAUGGCCUCACAAGGUAGUUCUUCAUUUCCUGCAGUGUCAUUAGAAACAUGCCCUUGUGAGCCAUUAGACUCAUCAAAUGUCACGUCUAUCGCUAUUUCAACAAGACCGGUGGUAUUGUUGAAAACACGAUAUCCAUGCGCAUUUGAUGCAUAACCAAGCAAGAAGCCCUCGUCCACUCUAGGAGCAAACUUUGAGCUCUUGACUUUCUUGUUAAGAAUAAAACAUUUACAACCAAAUACUCUAAAAUAAUCAACUUUAGGUUUAUUACCAGUGAGAAGCUCAUAAGCAGUCUUUUUGUAGAUCUUAUGAAGAUAGAGACGGUUGAUUGCAUGACAGGCGGUGUUGACCGCCUCUGCCCAGAAGUUGUCAGGUGUCUUGUAUUCAUCCAACAUGGUUCUUGCAGCUUCAAUUAGAGUUCGGUUCUUUCUUUCCACAACACCAUUUUGUUGUGGAGUGUAAGGCACCGAGAACUCAUGUUUGAUUCCCUCUUCUCCUAAGAAUUCUUCGACGCCUGUGUUCUUGAAUUCCGUCCCAUUAUCGCUUCUCACUUUCUUGAUUUUGAGCUCAAAUUCAUUUUGAGCUCUCCUCAUGAAUUUCUUCAAAAUUUCUUGAGUUUCACCUUUGUCACUCAAAAAGAAAACCCAGAUGAAUCGAGAAAAAUCAUCAACAAUGACUAAACCAUACUUACUACCACCAAUGCUAAUGUAGGCCACAGGUCCGAAGAGGUCCAUGUGAAGAAGCUCCAAUGGCCUCUUUGUUGUGACCACAUUCUUUGAUUGAUGUGGGACUCCAUGUUGCUUUCCUGCUUGGCAUGCGCCACAAACCCUAUCUUUCUCAAAUACAACAUUUGUUAGUCCAAUGAUGUGAUUGUCCUUUUGAAGUUUGGCCAAAUUCCUCAUACCGACAUGGGCUAGCCGGCGAUGCCAUAGCCAACCCUUGUCGGAUUUUGCCACUAAACAAGUCUCAGGCGUCACUUUACUUGUUGUGAAAUCAACAAGAUAAAGCUUGCCCUUCAAGCGACCGGUAAAGGCAACUGAGGAGUCCUCCCUUCUAAGGAUCUUCACAUCCACAUCCGAAAAUAGGCAAUUAUAACUCAUUCCACAAAGUUGUGAAACGGACAACAAAUUAUAGCUUAAAGAAUCUACUAAUAAAACAUUUGAAAGUGAUUGUUGGUCUGAGAUAGGAAUUUUACCAAUACCAAUCACCUUACUCUUGCCACUAUCUCCAAACACAAUUUCUUGUGCUUCUUGAGUUAGUUGCAAUGUAUGAAACAUGUCUUUCUCCCCGGUCAUGUGAUUUGUACAUCCACUGUCAAGCACCCAACUUGACCCACCAGAGGAGUAGACCUGCAAAACAAGUUUAGGCUAUGCUUUUAGGUACCCAAAUUGAAUUGGGUCCUACAGUGUUAGUUAUAGCCUUGGGUACCCACACACUUCUUUUCAUGACUUUUCGUUUAGUGUAGGCACCCACAUAUUUCACAACCAAUUUCCCUGAAUCCCAAGUCAACAUAUAAUCACAAAGAUAUGAGUGGGAAAUGGGAGCAUUAGAUUUUUGUCCACUUGAGGAUCCCACUUCCUUCAUCUUACUCUUUGUGGAACUCAAGUUAACCUUUACCUGAGAUGACUUGUCAUUUGAGGAGUGGAUCCUCCCCAAGGCAUCAUAUAGAGUGGUUCCCUCUAUGAACUUGGGGGAUCUCCACCCCUUAUGCACUGUGCUAGGGUUUUCCUUGGAUGAGUUGAACCCAAGCCCCCUUCUUCCAUUGUUGGGCUUAAGGGACUUGUACUUGGGUUCAACUUUCUUUAACUCAUCAUUGCUAGAGCAUCUUUUCAAAAUUUCUUUGACCUUCACCUGUGGGCUAUUCUUCCUUGCAUGGUUAGUUAGACAACAAGAAGCAUGAUACUUGGCACAAUGUUUGCAAGAAUUAUCAUUAGAGCUAGACUUAGAUUCAAAAACUAAAGAGAAGGCAUUGAUGUUCUUGCAAUUUUCAAGUUGCACUUGAAGUUCUUGAUUUUGAACAUUCAAGCUUAACAUGCUUGAUUCAAGUGCAUUCUUUUCAUUUGCAAGAUUAGCUAUAGAGGUUUUCAUGUUAAUUACUUCUUUAUCUUUAUUUUCUAUAGUUAUCUUGACUAAAGAGAUUUCCUUAGUUAAGACAUCUAGCAUUUCAUCCUUUUUGUGAAUCAACUCUUGAAGCUCUAGGUUUCUUUCCUUUUCAAGGAUAAGCAAGUCUUCUUGAGCAUCAAGAGUUGCUUUUUCUUUUAUCUAGCUUUUCCAUUAAUUUGGUGAUAACAGUGUAUCCAUUCAAGCCAAAUUCUUUAAUCAUUUUAUUUUUCAUGGCAAUUUGAUCAUCAUCAUCAUCAUUUGAAAAAUCAUUAUUAAAUAAGGUUACCUUAUCUCCCUUUGCCAUGAGGCAAGUUGGAGUGUAGGAGUCGUCUUGUAGGUUGGUGAAGAGUUGCGCGCUUGAUGUAGAUUGGAUGGCCACAUUUGCCACCACUUCCUCUUCCUCGGAGCUAGAACUCUCUUCAUCGGAGUUCCAUUCUUCACCAAUAUGAGCUUGACCAUACUUCUUCUUCUUGAAGUAUCCCUUGGUCUUGCCUACCUUUUUAAACUUGUCCUUCUUGUAUUCCUUCUUGGCUUCUUGUUCCUUCUUGUUAGGACAAUCCGCUAUGAAAUGACCGGUUUGGCCACAUUCAUAGCAUGCCCUCUUCUUUCCUUUCCUUUGGAACUUGUCAUUCUUCCUUACAAAUUUCUUGAAUGUUUUGAUGAACAUAGCUGUGUCUUCAUCACUUGAGCUAUAUUCAUCACUUGAGGUCUCGACCACUUUCUUUGCUUUGUGGUCUUUGUUCUUCUUGAGGUUGUCUUGUUCAUUUGUGAUCAAGGCAUGAGAGUCUCUUGUCUUGAUGGGGGCUUCUUCGGACUCGUGUUGUUGAAUUUUUUGCAAAUAAUUGAUGAGGCGUCAUAUCCUCAUAGUCAUCACGAUCCCUUAUCAUCCUUGCAAGACUCUUAUCCUUCUCUUUAUAAGCUCUCAUGAACAAUCUUGUGACCUUGGAGUCACUCCAAUCUUCACUCCCAAGAACUCUUAUUUUGUUGACCAACACCAUCAACCGAUCAAAGAGUGAUUGGAGCGACUCACCCUUUGUCCAAUCAUAUCUUGCAAGCUCACUUUCCAAAGCUUCAACUCUAUGUCUUUUAGCUUUGGGAUCUCCUUCAUGUGACAUUUUAAGAAUAUUCCAAAUGUCACAGGCAUCUUCUCUUCCUUGAACUUUCCGGUAUUCUUCCGGACAAAGACUUCCUUUGAUUAUGCUCACUGCUUGAGCAUUUCGAUGAACCUCUUGCAUCAUUUCCGGAGUCAUCUCUUCUCCUUGGGCGGGCUUAUACAUACCUACAUUAACAAUCUCCCAAAGACUAGGAUGCACACCGAUUAAAUGCGACUUCAUCUUGUCGGCCCACUCAUCAUAGUUCAACUCACUAAGAGUUGGUAACUUUCCAAGUGGGGCGGAAGAGAAGUUGGGAAUAUAAUUUCUAGAGUAAUCGAAUUGAACUUUGCUAAAGUCAUUACCUUUGCUUUUGGUAGAUGAUCCUUCGGUGUUGAGACUUACCUUGCUCAAUACCUUAGACACCAAAAGAUCCACUAGAUCGUCAUUAUAAUCAAAUGUUCCCUUACCUUUAUCUUCUUCGGCCUUUCUUCUUGAUUCUUCUUCUUCGGCCUUUUUCUUAGCAUCUUCCUCUUUCAUUUUGAGGAACAUUCUCUCGGCAAUCUUCAUGGCGAGGUCGAGGACCUUGGGGUCCACUUCCUCACCGGAAGAUGUGACGGGGAUUUCCUCGAGGAGAGGAUCCACAUGGUCCCGUUGUGUAGACAUGAUCGUUUCCUCACGCGGUUAAGCGUAAAACGAGGCACGUAGCUCUGAUACCAAUUGAAAGUAGCCUAGAGGGGGGGGUGAAUAGGCUACACCUGAAAAUUUUCACUAAAAACUUCGAAAUAGGUUAAAUUAAAGUUGCACAGGUGCAAACCGGUUCAGUCGAUUUUAAUCACAACUGAACAAGUUUGAACCCGCUCAACUUAAAUUUGAUAAUCUAUUGAACAAAUGCGAAGUAGGGAAGAAUAUAGCUAAAGAUUUGCCCUACACAAAAUCUACUCAAAUGAAUAUUAUGAACCAACCACUGAAUAUAACACACAAGAACACGCGAUAUAACCCGAGGUUCGGCAACCACCACAAAGGUGUCCUACUCCUCGUUGAGGAACCCACAAAGGGCCGGGUCUUUUCCAACCCUAAUCCUCCACAAGCCGACCACAAAGGUCAAGGCAAUCUCUUCUCAAAUCAGCUCAAGGAGCGGGUGAUACAAACUUCUUGGGGUCGUCCACAAAUUUGGAGACUCCCAAGCAACCUCUAACCGUCAAGGAACACGAGGUUCCAAGAGUAACAAAUCCGCACACGGUUAAGUUUGCAACGAGCUCAAGAACAAGAGAAUGGGAGAAUCGAGAUGAAAUUGACAGAGAGUUCGAUCGAGUUCACCUCACACCAAGGGUCCUUCAAAUGAUUGAAGGAGAUGCGAUUGCGGGUGUGAAAGGUGAAAUGAAUGCUCUUGUUUGAAAGUUGGUCAGCCAAGAAUUCGUGGGAGAGGCAGGAGUAAAUGAGAGAGAGAGUGUGAGGGGGUAUAUAAAGGAUCCCCCAAAAGCUGGCAGCCGUUGGGAGAAAAGGAGCAAAAACCGGUUGAACCGGUUUCUACCAGGGGAAUCCCGGUCCACUGACCUACUCAGCCGGACACUCGACCGGUUUCAAAACCGGAUGAGUAGGGACAAAAUUCGGCUCAACCGGUUUCUAAAAAAUAUCUGCUGCGACUUUUUCUGACAGCUCUGACUGUCAGACAGGUCAGAGCAGAGGUGGCAGGUGAACAGUACCGAAACCGGUUGAACCGGUUUCAGGACCGGUUGAACCGGUUUUGGGGGCUGAAACCAAAUUUUGAGUAUUUUGAAGGGAACAAAAGGGGAAACUUUGUGGGAAGUAAAAUUUGUUUUUCUCAAGAGCAUUCAUGAUCUGGGAAAAUGAUCUCCAAGGAGUUUUCAAAAGAUUUUGAACUUGGCUCGUUUCACAACUUACUUAACCGUCGCGGAUCCAUCUUAAUUGUACGGCGAUUCCUAUGACUCAAGAAUUAUAAAUUUAGCAUCGCCGUUGUUUCUUAGCACUUGGAGCACGCCAUUUGAUGUGGAAUUUUAAAUCCGCUGUGCUUUAUACUUUUAUGCUCGUAAGAUCUGUGCUUCUCCUUUCUGUAGAAAUACUGUGUACAUACUAGGAGCAAACUUGUUAGAAUCUUAGUUUGUUUUGUCAUUAAUCACCAAAACCCUCAAUUAGGGUUGAUUGCACUUACAUUUACACUCUGCAGAGGUUGCACAUAUUUACCCACAAGACGUGUUCCCUUUGUCGCCUCGGGUUGAUCAAACCCUUAAACAUUGCCAAGGUGAGUAGAUGAUGGUACACUGCGAGGCAUUUACAAAGUUCCACUAGAGGAGAGAACCCGCUACGGUUUCCGGGCCGAAAGCUGCAUAGGAAUCCUUCGUCCAGAAAGUUAACAAGACACUCAGACCCAAGGACCUCCCUACACCUGCAUCCUCCACCCCGCUUGCCCCUUUCGGGAAAAGAUUAACUCACACUAGCUUUCCUAAUUAAUCAGCCAAGGGCGUCCCAUUCUACACUUGUGGUAGCACUGUUUUCUCGGGUGGUCGCUCCAUGUUCCAAUUAACAUAAUAACCUUAUCAUGAACAAAAAAUAUUCCAUUGACAAUAAAUAGCAUGGUCAUGAAUAAAAUGUAUCUUAAUACCCAAAACCACAUAGAACAAUAACACAUACUACCCAAACGUUCAGUGAUAAGUAAGGUAUAAGGUAACUCAAACUAGGUUGACCUAUUAGGUCCCAUCAAGAUUAAUCUAAGCAUGCCACAGUGAUUAAUAGUAACAUUAUUGGGUAAAGAAGAGAGAUCAAGGACACAACUUGCCUUCAACGAGCUGCUGCUCAGUAUUUUCCACCUGUUAUGUUUCGGGCUCCUCGGUCACUUGCUCGUCUACUCGCAACAAUAAAAACAAGCAAUGUGCAUAGGAGAAAUUAACAUCACACCAAAUAUGAGAACAAACUGUGUAAUAAUGAUCUAUGAGUUGCUACGAGAUCGUAGGUUUGAGAACUGUUCAAAUCGGAGCUAUGGCUAAGGCGAUAGGACUUUUGGAAGAUUCAAUUGUUUUAGGCCAAUUAUUUCAAUAAACAAAAGUUCAACAAACUUGGUACUUAUUUUUUUGACAACCUACUACUUGAUAAAAUAGUGUUACCAAAGUGUAGACCAUAUUAAUAUGAAACUAACGCAACUGGAACGAGUCAAAAAGGAGUUAAAAUGAAUUAGUUAUGCAUUUCCUAAGGUUUUAGAAUUAAUUUGGCAUUUAAAAAUCAAUUUUGCAUUAAUUUUCUUAGUAUCCGGAGAUUCCUGGAUUGCGGACACAAUUUCUUUGAAAUCCAAGGUCUACUUUGCAAAUUGUAGGACCUUGCCGCAAUGUUCUUCGUACUACGGUGGAUCACGGGUUGAUUCCACGAAAUUCUAGGGUCUCUUAAACAAAACUACAUUCGGCGAAGGGGUACGAUGCGCUCUGGGUCAUCCGAUCUGACAUCUGUGGUCUGCAUCAGAUCUAAAUUUUAAACGAUUCGAUAUGUAAUCAUGGCCACCGGAUCGACGAUCAAUGGCCCCGAUUUUAAAAUAGUCCUGAUUCGAUCGCUACCCUUCCAGGAAGAAUGGACGACACUCAUGUCGUUCUACGAAUCUGUAUGCAACACGUGAUCUUGACCGCCCAAUCCGGAUCAACGGCCAUGGACCCAUCCCUUUCCAUGGCGGUCACAGAACGGCGGCGCAGCGCCCCGCACGGCGGUGCCUCACCAGCGUUCUGCCCCCCCUUGAGGAUCGGUGCUCGACUCCGAUAGCCGUUCGGUGCAAAACAGAGUGCAGACAACGACAAACAUGAUAGGGGAUUACUCCCAAGGAUUAUGGUGAUUUCCGUGUUACUCGCGGCGCUAAGCGGAUCCAUGGCGGAAUCUAGCUCUGGCGAGCAAUUCCGGGGCACUUGGACGCUAUCCUCUAUUAGGGUUGAUGCUACAUGAUGAGCGUAUGGAACCAACGCCUGGAGUGUGGUAUUUACCGUGGAUUCCGUCGUGCCGGGCUUCGUCCAUGGUGGAUCUCGGGCCACGGCGGCCGCAAAUCUCUGGUGAGGAAUUCUCGCUCGUCUCGAGCGCCAAUCCGCACUGGGGCGGCGUUGAUUUCACCCCUGAGAACACUGCAACGGUCUGUGGCCUAUCCUCGCGCUUCACUCUGCUACACCAACGGAGAGCGGAUGCGGCAGCUCUCCCUCUCUCACUUCUCGGCUUCGUGGAUGGUAAUUGGGCACGGCUGAGAAAGCGAAAAACAGGUCUCCAGCGCACGACUAUAUAGUCAAUAGUCUAGGUAAGGAGUUAGUUGGGGUGCCAGCUGGAAUCGCGC
rnacentral:lncRNA from 1 species